GUGGGGAAUAUUGGACAAUGGGGGAAACCCUGAUCCAGCGACGCCGCGUGAGUGAAGAAGUAUUUCGGUAUGUAAAGCUCUAUCAGCAGGGAAGAAAAUGACGGUACCUGACUAAGAAGCCCCGGCUAACUACGUGCCAGCAGCCGCGGUAAUACGUAGGGGGCAAGCGUUAUCCGGAUUUACUGGGUGUAAAGGGAGCGUAGACGGCACUGCAAGUCUGGAGUGAAAGCCCGGGGCUCAACCCCGGGACUGCUUUGGAAACUGUGGUGCUGGAGUGCAGGAGAGGUAAGUGGAAUUCCUAGUGUAGCGGUGAAAUGCGUAGAUAUUAGGAGGAACACCAGUGGCGAAGGCGGCUUACUGGACUGUAACUGACGUUGAGGCUCGAAAGCGUGGGGAGCAAACAGGAUUAGAAACCCGGGUAGUCC
rnacentral:rRNA from 1 species